CUCUGUACUGGCCUGUACGGAGGGAGUGAAUCUCAAUGUGUGCAAUGCACGCACUUUGGCCGACAGUGAAAACUAUGCAAGUCGUGUUGGUUUGCAGGAUGAAUGUGAGUCCUUUUAGACAAGCGCCUUAGUGGAGUAGCCCACCGAAAGAAGAGUACUUGACACCGCGAAGUGGAGUCUGCGCAUACAACAGAUUGCCAUCUGUUGAUGAAUACCACUCUGAGGCACUCUCACGAGCGAAGGUGUUUGAGAAUCCAUGUCGGAAUGAUGGUCAUGUUGGCCUAAAGGUGCAUUACAUUGCCGAUACUCGCCACCUCCACCCUGGAACAUGUUCAAUUUCUGUUUCUCGUAUGGAAGGACCGAACAGGUUGUUUUCCUGUCUCAGUGGACCACUCAAGACUGAACAGCACUGAUGGAAGAAGAUUUGCCGUGAAUCUCGUUCACAUAAUCAGCCUGUUUAAUUGCUGUACUGAGGUGACUGCUUCAUAACAAUGACCAUGCAGCAUUAAUUUUGGAUAGUAUUGCAGUGCCCCUAAAAUUGGAGAAUAUCGAAUUUCUCUGAUAGCAUUGUGAUUCAUUUGUGAAUAAACAUCACUACUCUUUUUGAGUAGCAUAGCAAUGACAGAGUUGGUUUAAUGUAUGACAAAAUGGAGCCGCUUUUUAA